CUCCAGGUGCUGGGCGGUCGGGCCGACACAAACGAAGCCAUUCUGCCCGUGCGGCUGUGCGCCCGUUCCCCACUCCUCUCGAACUCACCUUCUCCCUCUCCCUGUGCACACAUUCCUCCACGCCCGACGAGAUCUGCUGCGCUCGCCUCCAUUGCCCUGGCCCUCGCGCUCGCCGGCCUCCACCGAGCCAAAUCCUGCGCCGGAGCCCCUCCUUCCUCAACCUUCUUCUCCACCGAUGUGCCCCCACACCCCGACCGGCAACGAAGCACCCCGCAUGAGCGGACGCGUUCCCCUGCUCCAGACCGGCGGCGAAGCGACCCCGCGCUCUGCUUCUCCCUCCCCGGCGUCAUCCUACACCCCGCCGCGUCGAUCCCUCGCUAGAUUGAUGCAAACCGUGGCUGGGACCUUUGCUUCCUGUUUGACCCAGUCCCUUCUCAUCCAACAACAACAACAACAAAAGGAGGAAGCGGCUGCUCCGGCCGCCCCCUGCAGAUUCCAACCAACGACGGCCCCUUCUGCUCACGCGCCCCUUGGAGAUCCCCUACAGUUCAAUUCCCUGGCUGCACAGUAUAGGGAGGAUUCUCUUGAAGCAUUUCCUCAAAUUCUUCGUCCACAACCAUGCCUGCAGGGGUCAUGUGGACGGCGACGAGAAGCACGGAGCAGUGGAUGCGGUGCAAUACCUCACUGUAGAUUUCCCUCCCGCUCUUCGUCCACAGGGGCCUCACUAAAUUCUAAAAGGAUGUCAAAGCAAUAUUUUUGAGGUUUUGUGCACACGCCCAAGCAAGAAGCUUCAAGGUCCACUUCUAGGUCGAUAUGCAUGGGACGAGAGGGAGGGGGAAUGGGUUUUGAUGGCGAUAGCAUCAUCAUCAGGUUUGUGACAACGGGCAAUUUUUGGGAGGGCUCGAGCUGGAAGUUGCCUGGCAGAGGGGCAUGAGUUGCAUGCUCGAUUGCUCGUGUAUAUGUAAUCUGGGAAACUGAUAAGCAGAGUACACGAGUUGGACUGCCUCGGAAAAGUGCCGAAAAUUGCCCAACACAGAGUAGACUGUUGCUACAUAUGCUGGUGAGUCACCUACAAAAAUCUCAAGCUAUCAAAGAAAUGCCCAAGAAAAGGAAACCAUCACCAAGUACUCUCCGGUGCAGUACAAAUCAAUACUAGUUGCUCAUGCAGAUGGAAGAAACAAGGGGAAAACAUUGGAAAGGGAGUUUGCAAUCACGAUGAACAAGUUCUCAAGCUAUAUGUGGCAGCCAUUACAGGGACCUUCAGAUGAGGGGCAAGGGAGGAGAGGGGCGUGGGGAGAAGAAGCAGAAGGGCGUGGGAACGGCGCGUCGAGAGCGCUCCCUCUCGCUGGGUGGAUGAGAGACGCAAGAGACGGUGGACCCUCUCACUUUCCAAAUCUGGACAAGGGGACCGAAACCUACUUAAUACGGGAGGCUGCCAGGAGGCGCUAGCGGGCAGACGUUUGCCCGCUAGUCGCGUCCUUGCACAAAUAGGUGUUUGAUGAGAUUCCCCUUGCACAAAUAGGUGUUUGAUUUGUGAGGAAAAUUAAGGGAGAGUGAAGAAAGCCAUUAGAUUACCUGGCCGGGGCCAUGCCGCGCACUCGAUCUUUGAUGAGCUGCACUCCGCCACGGUGUAGACCUGCUGCUAGCUGAUGCCGACAAAGACGCUGGCGCUGGUACUGGCGCCACCCUCGAGCUACGUGAAGGCAACGUCCCAACUCAUCUUAAAGUCGUCGGCCCUGGAGUUGAGCUGGAUGCAUUGCCACGGCGCUGCCGCCAUAGAGGACAUGACAAGAGACUGCAGCAGGUCUGCGGUUGCCGGAUCGUGACACCGCGAGAUUGGGCGAGAUGACAAUUAGAUUAGAUUUUUUUCUUUGUUUUUGGAAGGAGACGGUUAGAGUUUAUGAGUAGAUAGAGUUUUUAAAAAAUUGAAGAUAUAUAGAUUGGUUUUAUCACGGGAGGAAGAAUCGGUAGAUUAAUGGAAUGCUUUUAUUACGGGAGGAAGAUUGCUUUUAGAAUGGGAGGAAGAAUCGGUAGAUUAAUAGCAUUUUUUUUCACAGUUGAGAAAUGAGCAAAUUUUCACCGUAAUAACUCGGUCCCACCAGAUUAACGACUCAUAAUUAUUGAUUAAUGUGGUAAUUUCUAGUGAGUCUGUAAUUAGUAUAUGUAUGUAUGUAUGUAUGUA